rnacentral:rRNA from 1 species
GACGAACGCUGGCGGCGUGCCUAAUACAUGCAAGUUGAGCGCUGAAGGUUGGUACUUGUACCAACUGGAUGAGCAGCGAACGGGUGAGUAACGCGUGGGGAAUCUGCCUUUGAGCGGGGGACAACAUUUGGAAACGAAUGCUAAUACCGCAUAAAAACUUUAAACACAAGUUUUAAGUUUGAAAGAUGCAAUUGCAUCACUCAAAGAUGAUCCCGCGUUGUAUUAGCUAGUUGGUGAGGUAAAGGCUCACCAAGGCGAUGAUACAUAGCCGACCUGAGAGGGUGAUCGGCCACAUUGGGACUGAGACACGGCCCAAACUCCUACGGGAGGCAGCAGUAGGGAAUCUUCGGCAAUAGACGAAAGUCUGACCGAGCAACGCCGCGUGAGUGAAGAAGGGUUUCGGAUCGUAAAACUCGGUUGGUAGAGAAGAACGUUGGUGAGAGUGGAAAGCUCAUCAAGUGACGGUAACUACCCAGAAAGGGACGGCUAACUACGUG